CAAGUGGGAUGCAAUUGUAUUUUUCCGGAAACAAUUUUUGACAUUUGUUUUGUUGGCAGCUUUGAUUAUUUGCAAGUCAAGGAAUUCUUUGAGUGUGAGAUUUUUCGAGCUCAACAUGGGUUUUGCAGAUCUAUGGUAUUCUCAUCCUCGCAAAUAUGGGCAGGGAUCUCGAUUCUGUCGAGCAUGUUCUAAUAAUCAUGGGAUGAUCCGUAAAUAUGGGCUAAACAUUUGUCGGCAAUGUUUCAGAGAGUAUGCGAAGGACAUCGGUUUCCGAAAGUUGGAUUAAGCCAAUACAUAGGAUGUUACCGACAGGAUUGUACAACCUGGUACAAAAUAGUAUGAAACACUUUGAAAUUUGUUUUGCUGAAGCAAAUAAAAUGAGCUACUGACCGAACCGAAA